GUGGGGAAUCUUCCGCAAUGGACGAAAGUCUGACGGAGCAACGCCGCGUGAGUGAAGAAGGUUUUCGGAUCGUAAAGCUCUUUCGUUAGGGACGAACGUGCUCUUUGUGAAUAAUGAGGAGUAAUGACGGUACCUAAAUAAGAAGCCACGGCUAACUACGUGCCAGCAGCCGCGGUAAUACGUAGGUGGCAAGCGUUGUCCGGAAUUAUUGGGCGUAAAGCGCGCGCAGGCGGGAUAUCAAGUCUGUCUUAAAAGUGCGAGGCUCAACCUCGUGAGGGGACAGAAACUGGUAUUCUUGAGUGUCGGAGAGGAAAGUGGAAUUCCAAGUGUAGCGGUGAAAUGCGUAGAGAUUUGGAAGAACACCAGUGGCGAAGGCGACUUUCUGGACGAUGUCUGACGCUGAGGCGCGAAAGCUAGGGGAGCGAACGGGAUUAGAUACCCGGGUAGUCC
rnacentral:rRNA from 1 species